UACUCCUAAUGAAAUCCUAGCCGCCAUUAGCCCUCACCCCACCCUUACCAACACCUACAGCAGCUGAAAACCCCUUUUUUUGCCAACCAAAAUACACGUAACCCAUCAGGAAAAGAAAGAAAGAAGGAAAGAAAGAAGGGAAGAGGGGAAGGGGACCGCCGAGAAGAAGGAGAGGAAGAGGAAGGGAAGCUGUCCGCGCCCUGCACCCGCGUCAGUUUCUCGCUGCCGUGCUGCUUCGCCGUCCAUGGGGAGUCGCCGUCGCUGCCGAUCUGUCACGAGCCGCCAUCGCAAGUCAACGACGAAGAGAGAGAGAGCCGCGAGGAGGAGGAUCGUGCCACCCAGUCACCAUUAUCGUCCUCGUUGCGCCGCCGUCGAGCCCACUGAGCAGAAUCCCAUCGCCGCCGUUCGCACCUCUAUUGCCGUCCGAGAAGCUUCCAUGGCCAUUGCCGUCGAGCUCACAAGUGAGAGAAGAGAGAGUUGCAGGUGAGAGGGAAAGGUGUUGCACCGCCGUUCUUUACUGCGCAGCCACCGCCAUGCCUUGUCGUCGCCAGAGUUGCCACCAUCGCGUGCCACCGCCGCUUUUCACAGUCGAGGAGAAGCCUUGCCUACGCUGCUGCCUUCUGGGCUAGAUUCAUCGAUUAAUGCUACUGCCACCACUGGCUUGCCAUUUCUGCUCGGAUGUGCCCUUAUUCGCCGUUCUGAUUAUUGAAAGGAAAUGUUGUUGAAGCUAUGGCUUCUCCGUUCCCCAUUCUCUUGUUUCUUUUCUGGUAGAGCUGCUGUGUUUGCGGUUAUUACUUUUGCUUGCCAUUCUUCUCCGCUAGCAGAGGGUGCUUGGAAUACAAAUCAUGAUGUAGUUGCUGCAGAAUAAGGUGAAAAGAGGGUUUAUUGCGUUAAAAUAGCUGCGGGUUUGAUUAUUUGAGGAACCGGAUGAAGAAGCAUUAAGAUCAGAAGGGUUAUACUGCGUUUGGUUUAUAUGCUGUU